GUUUCUGAUAUUAAACAUUCUUUUUAUGGACUACUAACAUUUACAGACAUUCAAUACUGUUUUCAUGUACUUAUUUAUGACAGACACUGUGGAGACGCCCCAAAGCAGUGGAGCGGAAGCAAAAUGUAUGGCAAAAAAUACUAGACUGGACAAAUGGGAGGAAGAAGAGGAGGACAAGGCAUGUGCCUUAUCAGAGCGAGCCGAGACUCCCCAUCUUCCUCAGGCAAAGGGCAUAUUGAGAAUGCAGUUAAGACCAUGGGUCUAUUUGGUUUCCAUCAUUGCGAGAUUUGAAAAGGUGAAGGUGGAGGUGCUUGACAUGUUCGGUCCGUCUGGGCAUGAGCCAAUGCAUAUUGAAACUGUUAAAGAAAUAUUAUUGCACUGUCCCAGGCUAGAUGUGAUUUGUACAGAGCUUGACAAUACCGUAGAUAAUCUGAUGAUAACGAUCAGACAGAUAAAA